UCUCCUAAAGCAGCCCCCACUGUCCCAGUUCAAACCCACCUACCAGCAGUCAACGUAGCCCUUGGAGCCUGACAGCCUGCAGUUCCCUAUAAAAGCCUUGUAACCCCAUGUCACUUGUUCUCUCGCCGGUCUGAUUCUUAUUUUUCUGCAACAUUUCUGGAGUCCCCAGCGAGAUGCCAACCUGUCUGGCCCCUUGAGUCACCAGCCGGUAGCUCGACUGCACUGAAGCAGGGAGGAACCCAGGAUAAUCAGAGGUGCCACACUGCCCGACAGUAUUCCAGGUCCUGCUUCACCCUGGAGUUCCAACCCUCCGGGCAGUCUUGGCCCGGCUGGACUCCGAGGAGAAGUGGACCUACUCUCCUCGCAACUCAUCUGGACUUGAUUAUGCUUCAGUGGCCUGGAAAUGAAGUCCAUAAAUCACUGUACAAUCCUGGAUUCUCAGCAUGAGAGUACCUUCAAAGAAAAUCAUCCCUCCGCAGCUGUUCAAGGUUGAUGGACUACUUGCACCAUGUUUUCUUCCUCAGCAAAAACCACCGGAAACCACUGAUUUGAGGAGAAUGAGAGACAAAUGGAGCAGCCCUGGUCCCCACCCACAACUUUAUGCCAACAUAGCUGAGGUCAAUCUAACAACCUACAGAUGCCUGAGCAAGAAAUAAAUCUGUUAUGUCACUGAAUUUUGGGAUUGUUUAUUAGGCAGCAUAUUUUGGGCAAUAGCUGAUGAAUGCAGUUAAGAACAUAACUUUAUAGACAUAAAAUAGAAUACCAUAAUAUUUCCUUUCGAUGAAGACUAAAAAAGGGCCUCUAUCUUUUAGAUACAUAGAAGAAUUUGUUGACGAUAACUGUGUUGUCCUAGAUUGGUUAAUUGGGGAACACUGGAAGAUUUUUUUCCAGGAUAGCUUAAUGAAGAGUCAUUUUUCUG